GCAGUGGGGAAUAUUGCACAAUGGGCGCAAGCCUGAUGCAGCCAUGCCGCGUGUGUGAAGAAGGCCUUCGGGUUGUAAAGCACUUUCAGUCGUGAGGAAGGUAGUGUAGUUAAUAGCUGCAUUAUUUGACGUUAGCGACAGAAGAAGCACCGGCUAACUCCGUGCCAGCAGCCGCGGUAAUACGGAGGGUGCGAGCGUUAAUCGGAAUUACUGGGCGUAAAGCGCAUGCAGGUGGUUUGUUAAGUCAGAUGUGAAAGCCCGGGGCUCAACCUCGGAACCGCAUUUGAAACUGGCAGGCUAGAGUACUGUAGAGGGGGGUAGAAUUUCAGGUGUAGCGGUGAAAUGCGUAGAGAUCUGAAGGAAUACCGGUGGCGAAGGCGGCCCCCUGGACAGAUACUGACACUCAGAUGCGAAAGCGUGGGGAGCAAACAGGAUUAGAUACCCUGGUAGUCCACGCCGUAAACGAUGUCUACUUGGAGGUUGUGGCCUUGAGCCGUGGCUUUCGGAGCUAACGCGUUAAGUAGACCGCCUGGGGAGUACGGUCGCAAGAUUAAAACUCAAAUGAAUUGACGGGGGCCCGCACAAGCGGUGGAGCAUGUGGUUUAAUUCGAUACAACGCGAA
rnacentral:rRNA from 1 species